rnacentral:rRNA from 1 species
GAUGAACGCUGGCGGCGUGCCUAAUACAUGCAAGUCGAGCGAAGCGGGGACGGGUGAGUAACACGUGGAUAACCUCCUAUCUUUCUGGGAUAACUUUUGGAAACCGGUGCUAAACCGGAUACUUAUAGCUGGCUCCGCGCUGCAUUGGUUAGUUGGUAAGGUAACGGCUUACCAAGGCAACGAUGCAUAGCCGACCUGCGAGGGUGAUCGGCGAAACGGGAACUGAGACACGGUCCAGACGCCUACGGGAGGAAGGGGUAGGGAAGCGUGCGCAAUGGGCGAAAGCCUGACAGAGCAACGCAGCGUGGGUGAUGAGGGGCUGAGGGUCGUAAAACUCUGUAAUUAGGGAGGCGGUACCUAAAGAGAAAGCCACGGCUAACUACGUGCCAGCAGCCGCGGUAAUAC